AUGGCUAUACAUAGUAUAUAAUAUAUACACAUAGAGUUAUGGUUUAUAACUAUAUAUAGCCAUAUACACGUAGAGUUAUGGUUUAUGGCUAUACAUA